CGAUUGUUUUUGUUUAAAAAGAGCUUAGAGAUUUGAACCAUUCCUCAACAUCAGCCAAGCAAGGGAAUUCCAUCCACCAUUUUGAAUCACACCUCUAUCCUUAGAGAUUUGAACCAUCCCAAUAUUGUCAGGUUGUUGCAAAUUCUAGCUACUGAGGAAUAUAUGUUUGGUGUGUGUAAAUCUUGAAAAAUAGUACAUCACUAAUCCCGUGCUUAGCAUUCACACUUUCGAAAGAUCUGUUCUACAUCAAGCUCUUUUUGGAAUUUGUGCACCCAAAACUUCUAUUCAUAAGGCUCAUCUGAGCUAUACAGCACCUGAACUUUUGAUGGGCUCAACCAAUUACUCAACUGCAGCUGAUAUCUGGUAUAUGGGCUGCAUAUUUUCUCACAUCAUUAAGCGCCAACCGCUGUUCAAUGAUAUAGACAAGCAUAGGGUAUUGGCUGAGAUAUUCUGAUCUAUACUCAUUUUGCUAUAAAACAUGAGAUGGUCACUCUUUUAGAGUCUUGAGUAAAGCAACAUGUCAAC